rnacentral:misc_RNA from 1 species
AAUCUCUCUUCUUCCUCGCGUGGCCAUAUGCCAAGUCCAAGGAAGAAACCCAGGCGCGUGAGCAACGAGGGCAAGCGUAACGGGAAAGCGAGGAAAAUCAAGCCGGUAUACUCCAACUUUGUUUUCUUCCUCAAAGCGUUCUUUAUCGUCUGAUAUCGCAGCACGCAAGAACCGUCCUUGGAAUAACGGGAAAGUGAAGGUUGUUUUGUGUAUUAGCUCGUCUUGUCCAGUCGCCGCCCACAACAAGGUAAACAACUCGUAAUCUUUGGUUUCUCUUUUUGAGUUGAUUUGAUGGGUAGUUCUUCCGAGAUCCUAAGAUGAGUUUCUGCGAUGUGUUCAAUUUAUGUUUUUCCCUUCAUUUUUUUUAAUGUUAG